UACGUAGGGUGCGAGCGUUGUCCGGAAUUACUGGGCGUAAAGAGCUCGUAGGUGGUUUGUCGCGUUGUUCGUGAAAACCGGGGGCUUAACCCUCGGCGUGCGGGCGAUACGGGCAGACUAGAGUGCGGUAGGGGAGACUGGAAUUCCUGGUGUAGCGGUGGAAUGCGCAGAUAUCAGGAGGAACACCGAUGGCGAAGGCGGGUCUCUGGGCAGUAACUGACGCUGAGGAGCGAAAGCGUGGGGAGCGAACAGG
rnacentral:rRNA from 1 species